rnacentral:rRNA from 1 species
ACGUAAGAAUCUACCUUUUGGCGAGGGACAACCACUGGAAACGGUGGCUAAUACCUCAUAUAACUGAGAAGUGAAAGAUGAAAAUCACCAAGAGAUGAGCUUGCGUCUGAUUAGCUAGUUGGUAAGGUAAAGGCUUACCAAGGCGACGAUCAGUAGCUGGUCUGAGAGGAUGAUCAGCCACACUGGGACUGAGACACGGCCCAGACUCCUACGGGAGGCAGCAGUGAGGAAUUUUCCGCAAUGGGCGAAAGCCUGACGGAGCAAUACCGCGUGAAGGAUUAAGGCCUAUGGGUUGUAAAC